rnacentral:rRNA from 1 species
CAGCAGCCGCGGUAAUACAGAGGGUGCGAGCGUUAAUCGGAUUUACUGGGCGUAAAGCGUGCGUAGGCGGCUAAUUGAGUCGGAUGUGAAAUCCCCGAUCUUAACUUGGGAAUUGCAUUCGAUACUGGUUAGCUAGAGUGUGGGAGAGGAUGGUAGAAUUCCAGGUGUAGCGGUGAAAUGCGUAGAGAUCUGGAGGAAUACCGAUGGCGAAGGCAGCCAUCUGGCCUAACACUGACGCUGAGGUACGAAAGCAUGGGGAGCAAACAGGAUUAGAUACCCCUGAGUCCCUGUCUCUUAUACA